rnacentral:rRNA from 1 species
UAGGGAAUCUUCGGCAAUGGACGAAAGUCUGACCGAGCAACGCCGCGUGAGUGAAGAAGGCUUUCGGAUCGUAAAACUCUGUUGGUAGAGAAGAACGUUGGCGAGAGUGGAAAGCUCAUCAAGUGACGGUAACUACCCAGAAAGGGACGGCUAACUACGUGCAG